CUCGGGCAGGGAAUCGCCCUUCGCCCGGGUCUGAACCGGGAACAAGGCGGGGGCUUGGCGCAGAUUGAGUAACUAAUGAAAAUUCCAUUUUAAAUGUGCUUUCUGGGAGACAGGGAUGUUCUUUUUGUUCAUGAUUAACCAGAGCCCGUAUUUCAAGCAGCAGGGAAACAGCUCCAGAACUAGACUAGAUGUGACACUUGCUGGAGAAGAAAUCUUGCAUAAAUCUGUCGAAAAAGACUCAAUCAUAUUACUUCACUAGCUGUGGUAACCUUUGGAGGCCAAAGUCCAGACAGGUUGAGAAAUGGAGCAUGAGUCCAUAAAGGUGACAAUUCCAUUAACUGCAAUCAGAGAGAGAGGUGAAUGGUGAGAUAAAGACAAAUGACUCCUUCUGUAAAGAAAAGAAAAUAUGUGUGUGCAGGGGAAAGAGGCAGAAUGAACAUUUUCCAGCCUUGUCGAGGAAAUAAAGACCCAGCCCUGCUCUGUUGAGAUCAACACAAAAAACGCCCCGUGAGCUCAGUGGGUGCAAAUUUUGCCCCAAUAUCCCAACUUCUGGUGAAUGUCAAGCAGCUAUGGA